AAAAUGACUCGAGGGUGACCUUUCAUAGAAAAAGCUUAAUGACCCGAGGCCCAGGAUCCACCGACUAAGGUCGAGUGUACCAUGCAUUUUCGAGCCAUUCAGAGUCUAACUACAACAGUAGGUCAAAACCAAGCCAACCAAUGUCAACACCCCCCUCGCCCCGACUAUUACCAAGUUAAAAGAUCUAUUUCCCAUAACAUU
rnacentral:lncRNA from 1 species